rnacentral:lncRNA from 1 species
UCUUAAACUAAAUUCUCUCAAUAUGAUUUUUUUUUUUCGGUUUAGUGAUGGAGAAGAAAAUAAUUCAAAAAUGAAAUCUAAUAAAACAAUGAUGUAAAUUAGAUGGCAAAGAGUAAUUUUUUUUUUAUUUUAAUGGUUGAAAGUUCUUCAUUAUCCCUAAAUUAUUUAUAGCCUAUCUCCAUAAAUAUUAUAGAUUAUUUACAGGAUUUAUUUUUCAAUUUUCCUUCUAUUCCGCUUUCCUCCUAUCCGUUUGAAUCAAUUUUAUAUUCUUCGUCCAGCUAGAAAAGUCGAAGAUUGCUUGUUGAGGUAAGCUUUCUCAAUAGCCUAGUUGACAUUGCUCUGCAAUACAAAGAAGAAUAUCCUUUAUAUAUACACGUUGUUCGAAAACUCUUUUAUUAAAAUUUAGAAUAUAUUGCUUAAGAUGGUUUUAUUUUAUCCGAAAAGAGAAUAUUUUAAGAUAUUCUCCGAAGUAUAAAAUUAGUGGAUUGAAAUAUUCAAAAAAUUCUGAUGAUUCUUACUUCACGCUUUAAUUAUGUUACCCACCGCUUUUCCUUAACCAUUUUCACAGUGGUCGAUAUGGCAGUGGUUACACGGUACGGUAUUCGAGUGAAUUUGCAUAAUUUCCAAAAAAUGACUGGGAAAUUAAUAUGACAACAUUAGGAAACCACUGAUAUCGGUUGGUUAAUGAGAUGUUUUCAACAAAAUACUUCAAACCAGGCGAUUAGGUGACUGGUUGGCUCUUAUAAUUUGCCAGAGUAGUAAUUUCUAAUUCGUGUCAAGUGGUUUAAGGUGAAUGCCAUACUGUCAAAUAAGCCUUUGUCUUCCUCCUUUAUUACUCCGUUAUUAUGGCAGUGUGCUCUUAAUGACUCGGUCCGUCACUUCCUUCCAGAAGAGAUUCGACAAAGGAGGAGUCAAAAGCACAUGUAUCUAAUUUCCCACUUCCAUCAAUGUCGUAGGAAUUGUGUGCUAAUGACCUCAUCAACAAUCUGCCAUCAGCAAAUGGCACUGUAAGAGAAAACUAUCCAUAAAUCCUUGGGCCAACCUAAUUUGCCUAACCUUUGUGUCUCGAAUCUAGCACAACAACGCUUCAUGCGUCGAGAAGUGAAGAAAAAAACUUGGCUAAUAGAUCUUAAAUAUAUCAGUUCAUUUAUAUGGAGCAGACAAGGAGAAGUCGUUAAGAAUCCAACAUUAAUGGAUCUUGUCUCCGUUGAAAAGAACAGUGAGGAUGUCGCGAAAUGUUCUAGGUCUUUGUUAGCAGAUGUUCACAAUAGCUGGUCGUUGAGAAUUUUUUCUUUUUUAAUUUUAAAGCAAAAAUCUUAAAUUUUUAUAAAAUUGCGCUACAGUUUUAAAGAGAAAUAUUUUCAAUUAGAGACUCGUGUGCCAUAGACCAUUUGCAAAUCUUAGUCGGGUCCUUCAUUUGUCAUACAGGACUUCCACCCCAUCUGCAAACUAACCAGACGUUCACACGUCAGAUUUAUGACGAAGAAGAAGAAAACCUGGUAACUCGGUUAGAAAAACGCAUCACGGAAUUCUGAACGCCAUAUUAAUGUCAAGAAAUAUUUUGUUUAUGUUUAAAAUUUCAAAUUUAAACGAUUGUUUUUGAUGAGCGAUCGUACCUAUGGAGAAUAGCGUGAAGAUCUAUACCGCGCGAUUUAUCAAAGUUCUGAGCACGUCCUUAUCGAUGUGUAUCAUCAGUGGACAGUUACUCGCUCAAGUAUAGAAAGCUUUCUUCUUGCCCAACACUUUUAAGUUUAUAAAAACUUAGGUAUUUACAAAGGAUAAAAAAUGCAUGUUUUUUGUAUUGAUCCAAGGAAAAGAAUAAAUCUAAAUUGCUUAUUUAAUGGUGUCUAACUGUUCUGGUUAAAUAUGGCAAGACGAAACGCUGUCAUCUGAGAAAAUAGCUAAUUUGAUGCCGGAUGAAGUUGCUUUAGGAAAAGAAAUCUUUUUCCCUCGGUAUCCGUCUUAAUUAUGAAAUUAUCGGUUCAGUUUGAAACUUUUCCUCAAAAAUUCUGUUAACUGUCAAAAGGAAGUUUACUUAUCGUCCAUCGCUUUCAUUUUCUUUAUUCUUCUCCCUCAGUUAUAAACAGAAUAAUUGGAAAGUUAUACAAGUUAUCAAUUUCUAGGUCUACCUAUUCAUUUAUUUUGAUUUUAUUUUUCGGUUGGUGCUCUUACCAGCCACUCGGAACUUCUCCGGUCGUUUUUUCUCCAUAUAAAAUCCACCCGAAGACAUUCUAGAAUCCACUCUAAAGCAUUUGGCCAAACGAUCCCGUUAUUAAAUUUUAUGGUGGAAGCCAUGACUGGAUUUCGACUUGUUUUUCUUCUCUUUGCUUUACAUUCACUUCCACAGAAUAGAUUUUCUUCUGCACAGGCUAAAGUUUUUUUCUACCGUUAUGAACGAAUUUCUUACGAACAGAUGUGCCGAAUGUCUCGCUGUUUUUUUUUUUUGAUUUUUCCUUCCAACCCUUCUUAUCUGACCGAGAAAGACCCUCCCAAAUUAAAUUCAAUUAUAGUUUUUCAAAUUAACUUUCCAAUAAAAGAAAAUUGGAUAUAUAUAGAUAGACAGAUAUUUUAAAAAAUCUAACUCUCCACCUUAAAUUUCUCUUUAAAUCACGUGAUUGGGCAAUUAGAGAAGAACUGCGUUUGAAAAUUGAUUAGUCUACUUUCGCUCUUAGAAUUUUACUGGAAAAUUAGAUUUUUGUAUUUUUUGAAAGCUUUAUCCGAACCUUCUGUUUCCCUUCUCUUUUUUUCUUCUUUUAAACCAGGAUGGUAGUAUUUGUAUAGUUAUGCAGUUAGCGUACCACGAUGAAGGUAAAGCAUUUCUGCAACGUGGUUACCUUGACGACGACGUUUUAUAGUCGCGAAACCCUAUUGGAUGCUAACAUCGACCACCGACAGUUUGCAUCCACGUGAAGUGGGCUUUCCAGCCAGAUAGGUUUCAGUCUUCGGAAGGAAGAGGAUGCGGUUCAGGAACUGGCAAUCAUGAAGCUGCCUCAGUUGGUGAGUGAACGACUUAACACUUUUAAUAAUCAUUGUACUUAAUAGUAAUGGUACAGCCUCGAAUUUUAUCUAUUUUCCCCCCUUUAUCGAUUUAUUCGAUAAUCACGGAUAAACCUUACUUUUUCCGCUCAAUUAAGAUUUAUGUUUGUUUUGCCGACCGUAGUCCAGCCAGAUCAUUAAAGAAUCUCCUGGGGAAUUAAUAGUUUAGAGAUUCUAUUCCAUCUCUCUGAACGAAUGCUGAUGAAGAGAGAGAAGUUAAAUCAACAUACUAGAAUAAUUAAACGAUCGAUACAAUCCUGAUAGUAGUUUGCUUUCUGGUUUUUUUUUUUACGUUUAUAAUUUAGAUAAAAUAGAUUUGUCAAAAUUUCGAAAAGUGGGCGUGGCAAAAAUGAUUCAUCUGAAGUAUUAUAGGAUUUUAACUGGGGAAUCCACAGCUGCAACUACCUGGUUCCUUAUUAUCCUAAAUUGUAAAGAGAAAGCCGCUGUUCCGUUUUAUUUUCGACACGGGGAUUUUUAAUGGAGUUUUCAUCAAACUAUAUUUUUUUCUAAUUUAAUUCUGCAAAUUAUUUGAACGAUACUUAAUGGAGCUAUCUGGUUACACUUUCGCCAAAGCUGGAAACUCUUACGCAAAAGAUUACUUUUCCUACAAAAUGGAUGGGUUAAAACACUGGAGGUAAGUGAAAUUUCUCUUUUCUCAAUAGCUGAGGAGUCGAUUCGCAUCCUUACUUUUAAAAGAUUCGUAAGAUAUAUCUUUAGUUUUUUAAAACUUUCACCUAUGGAAAAACUGGUAAAUAGCGGAUAGAAUUUUUGGCGGGCACCAUACACCCACAACUGCGAGAAAGGGCCAUCCUUCUUAUCUGUUCAAAGGAUUUUUCUUGAAAUUCCAUUUAUUCUAUCUUUAGGUUCUAGAAUAAAAAAACUUUAGAAAAAUCAUAAAAAAAAACCCAUCCCCAAGGCUUUUGUAAGUCUCAUCUUUCCGUUUCUUCGAUAAUCUCUAUGUUUUGUAUAAGCAGGCUGGAGUAAAAAAAAAUAAUGGCUGGACAUCCUAAGUGCGUUUUCGAUGAGAAUUCUUAUUUUGAUGCUCGAAAACUUUCAUCUUUGAAAAAUACGAAAAGCCACAUGGACUCGGUUUAUUCGAAAUUAAUAUAUGCGAAUUAUUUUACUGCGUAAAGCAAAUAUUUCCUUAAUUUCUCCAAAGGAAAAACGAAUUCUUUAUCGUGUGUAAGUAUCGAGCUGGCUCUACUAAAUGCCUAGAGUAAAUAAUGAAUAAUUUUCCGUCAUUUAUAAAACUAUUCCUUUCAUUUAAGAAAUCACAUUUAAUCUUACCGUCA